GACACUGUGGCCGAGUGGUUAAGGCGCGGGCCUGCUAUUUGAUUAAUAACAGACUAGCCCGUAUCUUCGGAUGCGUGGGUUCGAAUCCCAUCGGUGUCG